rnacentral:rRNA from 1 species
AGAGUUUGAUCCUGGCUCAGAUUGAACGCUGGCGGCAUGCCUUACACAUGCAAGUCGAACGGUAACGGGCCUUCGGGUGCCGACGAGUGGCGAACGGGUGAGUAAUGUAUCGGAACGUACCUUUCAGUGGGGGAUAACGUAGCGGAAGUUACGCUAAUACCGCAUAUUCUGUGAGCAGGAAAGCAGGGGAUCGCAAGACCUUGCGCUGAUUGAGCGGCCGAUAUCAGAUUAGCUAGUUGGUGAGGUAAAGGCUCACCAAGGCGACGAUCUGUAGCGGGUCUGAGAGGAUGAUCCGCCACACUGGAACUGAGACACGGUCCAGACUCCUACGGGAGGCAGCAGUGGGGAAUUUUGGACAAUGGGGGCAACCCUGAUCCAGCCAUGCCGCGUGAGUGAAGAAGGCCUUCGGGUUGUAAAGCUCUUUCGGCCGGGAAGAAAUCGUAUGGGGUUAAUACCCUGUGCGGAUGACGGUACCGGCAUAAGAAGCACCGGCUAACUACGUGCCAGCAGCCGCGGUAAUACGUAGGGUGCGAGCGUUAAUCGGAAUUACUGGGCGUAAAGCGUGCGCAGGCGGUUUUGUAAGACAGGCGUGAAAUCCCCGGGCUCAACCUGGGAACUGCGCUUGUGACUGCAAGGCUAGAGUACGGCAGAGGGGGGUGGAAUUCCACGUGUAGCAGUGAAAUGCGUAGAGAUGUGGAGGAACACCAAUGGCGAAGGCAGCCCCCUGGGUCGAUACUGACGCUCAUGCACGAAAGCGUGGGUAGCAAACAGGAUUAGAUACCCUGGUAGUCCACGCCCUAAACGAUGUCAACUAGGUGUUGGGUGGGUAAAACCAUUUAGU